CAGGCUGGGCCAGGCGCCUUGGGUACCUUGCAUCCCAGCCAGUUUACACGCCCGCCCACCAUCAGUGCUGGCUGGGUCGCUGCUCAGGGUUGGGCCAGCGGCGGUGUGUUGAGGUCAGGAAGCUGUCUGAAUCCGCGGGCAUUUGGUGGGAAGGGGAUCUCAUUUUGUUUUUCCAGCUACAAGUGUAAGAUUUAUAGUCCGUGCCGCGUCCCCAACCCUCGUAUGUCUUUUUUACACCUACCGCGUUUUAGCUCCUGAGCCAGAUACAACUUCACCUGGAGAUGCUUUCUUUGCAGACCUAGGAAGUUUCUACUUUGAGGGGCAGAGAGUCACAGGUUUCCCCAUAGGACAGAAAGAAAACUGAGAGCAGGGCAACGCUGUGGUCUUAAAGGCAAGAGCAAUUGGAUUUGCUGAGUUGAAACGUGCUGGGAAAGGAAGGAGGGAGACUAAUGGAGUUCCCUUUUGUGUGCAAUUUUUCUAGUUCCCCAACCCUUUAAAUUGUAAAGUCCAGGUGUACUGUAAUAGUCGUUGUUACAUCAGGCUAACUUUGAUUAGCGAUUUCACUCUAGCCGUGACAUUUCAAUAUAAUAAUAUAGUUCACGUUAUAAUAUACCUUCUACCAUGCCUAGAUUUCUCUUCAGCCUAUUCUGUGGUGGACAGUGCAUGAUCAGAUGACCUAUGAGUGAGUUUGAGUAGGAUACGCUGAGCAUACAGAAUUUAUUCUAGAAAUGUACCAGUUCUGCCAAUAUUUAUCAGAAGUCACAUUUUUAAAGCUCUUCCGGAACUGAAGAUGUCGUUUGGUAUAUAUGAAGAAAAUGGAAACCAAAAGCUUGCACCUCGUGUCCUGUCUCUAAAAGAAUCAAAGAGGAUGGCAUGUUGAGUAGAAGACUUUUACUUUACCAGAAUGAAAGCUUAAAUCUUUAUUUUUAUUAACUUGGCUUCGUUUUUAGACAUUUCUUUAAGAUAUAAAUAUAAUGGUGAUGUAGGUUAUCACUCUUCACACUUAAGAUAGAUCACGAUGUUCUCUGGGAACAUCCGUAAGAAAUGUGUUCAAAAAAGGAAAAGAUCUUUAAAUGUGCCAGUUAUUCUAUGGUGUGAUAUUCAAGACGGUUUAUCUUCACCAUAAAGGGACUUUGUCAUGGAGGUUUCCGUGACUUGCAAUACAAGAAUCAAUCAGAAGCAUAUCCACCGUCUCUCCAGGUGUGUUGUUACCAUUACAACUUGAAAUAAAGUGCCCACAUAACCGAGUGAACGAGGUAAGCUUACAGGAAGGGUUCUCAACCAGUUCUUCCAGAGAUCUUUGUGCCUGUGAUCUCAGGUUGAAAUGUACCAGCUAACACAUGUUGUUUAAAAGCUGAUUCUUCUCAAAGGUGUAAGUGAUGAAGGAGACUCCACAAACAUAGCAUUAUGACCUCAUCAGAGUAAAUAAAUAGCCGCCUAGGCAAGGUACUCAGAAGGGAGAAAAGCAGAUACAGGAACUUUGUUGCUUACAGUAGAACUAAUGUCUUGUCUUCACCUCACAUGAUCUUCACAGGAGGCAAAAAGUCCACGUUAAUCACAUCCUAGGAAAUGCUAAGCAGUUCAUAACUACCUAUCAUCUUUAUUCUUUAAUUUAUACAUAAUAGAGGGUGGGGUAUAUAGUUCACUGGGAAAGUCUGUGGUUAACAUGUAGGCGACCCUGAAUUUGAUCUCUCAGCAUAGAAAGCAAAACAAAAGGCAAAGGUGUACAACAGACUGUUCCUGACAUACUCAAGAGCAAAGAAUGUGACUUUUGGGCAGUGUAAAGGCUACUUUCACACCCACAUGGUCGUUUACAACUGUCUAACACCAUCUACCAGGUAUGCAUGUGGUGGAGACACGUGCACCGUCUUCAAGGAGCUGGUGAGGUAGACUGGCAGCUAGCAGGGCUGGCUGCAUGAUCACGAGGAAGAGUUUCAACUUCAGUACCAACCAGCACUUCCACUAACUCCAGCUCUUGGAGACUCAAUACCCACUUCAGGCCUCUGAGUUCACCUGAGAGCAUUCAAAGACACAUAAACUUCUUUUACAAAUUGUAUCUUUUAGGGAGAAGAAAUGUAACUUGGUGGUAAAGUGCUUGCUAGAAUAUUCAAGGCCCUAAGUUUGAUAAUCAGCAUCUUAAACCCCCAAAACCUGACCUUUUGUUCUUAACUGAAUGGACAUACAUGAAGAAAUUGUAAACAUACUUAACUCAGGAAAAGUCAGUACACAUAUGAAAAAUAAAUUCCGGAUUAACUUCAUAUUAAACAUAC